rnacentral:rRNA from 1 species
UUGAACAUGAGAGUUUGAUCCUGGCUCAGAACGAACGCUGGCGGCAUGCUUAACACAUGCAAGUUGAACGCAGAAUAGGACUUCGGUUCUAUUGCUGAGUAGCAGACGGGUGAGUAACGCGUGGGAAUUUGCCUUCUUGUGGGGGACAACUGAGGGAAACUUUAGCUAAUA